CUGGGGUCAGAGGAAGGGACAGAGUGCAGGAGAACAGCGGAUGAUGACGUGGCCGGCAGGUUACAUAGAGGAUGAGGAUCUACUGACAAAGUGAGAACCUAUGAUGUCCGGGCAUCAGACUCUGCAGAGAAGUUGGAGCUGGAAGACGUCCUGACGUCUGGACCAGAUGAGCAAGAAAAGGAAAGAUAACAGAGAAGAUGUCACUCAGAUCUGCAAACAAGGUGAUGGAUGGCUUUGUCUGGCAACAUAAGAGACCGCGGAUCCCUAGAAAAGUCAUGUCCCAUGGUAGAGGCUUCGGGGGGCUGGGUAAACCUAAUCUUGAGGAUUAUUAUAGAGCUUCCAUCCUGGACCAGAUGAGACACUGGUGGUCAAGAGAAUCUAGUUGUGCUGGAGGGGCUGGGGCCAAACGGAUACCUUACUUCACACACUCUGGGACUGCCCUGCAUUGCGAGUGACUUGGAGGGCGAUUGAACUGGUAAUUUCUAGGCUGAUGGGUAAGAGUUUCAAAUUGUCCCCAACUCUGGCAUUGUUGCUAUUAGAUUUGGACGAGGUGCCGUUUGACUUCAGGACUAUUAUUGCACAUCUCAUAAUGACCACUAAAUUGUUUAUCAUCAGGAAGUGGAGAUCUCCAGUGGUCCCGACCUUGUCGGAGAUACUGUCCUAUACAAAUCAUACAUGCAACUAUGAACGCAUGUUUGCCCUGUCGAAUCACCGGGAUGCCCAAUUCCUGAAACAUUGGGAUGUGUGGGUCCUCAGUGUACACUAUGUCUCCCUGGAACCUAACUUUUACUGAUUCCUGUCUGUUAUAUUUUUUUCUACUUUCUUUCUCUUUCUCCUAUCUCUUUUCUUGAGACUCAUGGCGGAGGUUGCUGACUCUACUUCUUUUAUUUUACAGUGUUUUACAGUGAACUCUUAUCUAAUUCUUAUUAUAGUUCUUGACAAUGUUUAAACUGUCAACCUUUGUCAAGAUUGUGUACCGGGUUCCUUUUUGUCUAUUGUUAUGGUACUAUUGUUCUUGUUUGUACCUGUUCUUAUUUGAAAAUACAAUAAAACAU